rfam:Schistosoma mattheei strain Denwood, Zambia genome assembly, scaffold: SMTD_contig0001749
UGACGAGUCCCAAACAGGACGAAACGCGCGUCCUGGAU